rnacentral:tRNA from 2 species
GCGGGGGUGGCCGAGUGGUCAAAGGCGCCAGGCUUAGGACCUGGUGGCUUAGCGCCUGCGCGGGUUCGAAUCCCGUCCCCCGCA